AUUCCAAACUAUGCAAUUCUUUAUAGGUUAUAGUUAGCAAGCUUUCGGAGAUUCUAAAAUACUAUAGACAGAGCUGUUCAUUGUGGUUGUUCACUACGGAGAGAGUCUGUCCAUCAAGAAUGUCAUUCUCGUACAUGCAGAAACGUCUGUCGAUCCAAGUGUUUUGGGGAAAAUUUCAUCGUGCAAUCAUUAUAUGUGAAACUAUGUUGCAGGUACUUUAAUCAUUAUAUGUAAUAGAAUUAUAAAUAAUAUAAUGUGUGUUAUCCAGUGUUAAAAAAGUUGUUUAAAACAUGUUUACAUCUUAUAUGAUGUUAAUGUGUACACCAAUUUCACAACACUAACUUCACAAUGUACGUGUACAACAUACAUAAAAGGCUCUCAGCUUUAUACUCUCUCCGUUCCUUAGACCAUCUCCAAUGUAUUUUGCUAUUUUCACCUCUAAAAUAGGGGAACUCUAUAAUAGAAGUGAGAUAUGCUCCAAUGUAUUCCCCUAAAAUAGUAAUCUCUAAAAUAUAGAGUAAAAAAUAGAGGAAUGCUAUUUCUUCCUCUAUAAAUAGAGGAAAAAAUAGAGAUCUCUAUUAUAGAGGAAGAAAUAUAGAUGCGUUGGAGCAAUUUCACCUCUAAAUGCUAUUAUAGAGGUGAAAAUAGCAAUGGGUUGGAGAUGCUCUUAAUAAUAGACUUUCUAAAAAAAUAUUUGUUUCAGAAAGAUGUAUUUUUGUGUUUUGUAUGAAAAAAUUGUAAACUCCAAGAAAAUUAAUUGACUUUAUUAAAUCACUAUUGGUUUAAAGUUAUUGAAAAUUGAAAAUUGAAAAUUACAGAAAACGAUACAUUUAUUAUGGUAGUUUAAUGUGUUUUAUUAAUAUGUGUGAAAAUACUAAAAAGUCUAUUUUUUAAGAACGGAGGGAGUAUGAUUUUUCCAAAAAGUCAACAAUCUUUUUUGAGUCAUCUUGUUGUGUGUACUUCUGCAUAUAAUUACUGAAAUCCGUAGCUUUUAUUCCUUAUUGUUGCUAGUUUUCAUCCAGUUGUUAGGUAGCUGUUGAGGAGCAUUACAUCACAUCCACGAGGACAAGAUCUGCUAUGAUUUGUUCAAAAAAUAUAUUGUUGAUUUUUCUUAUUUUUAAUAGCCUUGACGUUGCAUAUAUAAGAAAAGUUGAUGUAACUGAGAAACUUGAGAACAAGAAAUUUGCAAAUUUCAUUAUUUUCUCCACUUCCUUUUUUUUUUUCUGUAUCUGCUGCCUUCACUCUCUUGGGAUAUAUAAAAAAACAUAAAAAUAUCUGAGAGAAUAGGUUUAGAGUUUAUAGGGUCAGAUCGUUUUUGUUGGUUUGAUCCUGAAGAGCAAGAUGCGUUUGAAUGUGUGAUAUAGUAUCUGCAUAAUGACUGAGCCAAACCCGAUGUGGGACAAAUAGAGCGCAAGUUCUGACCCUUUACCCCUCCUGAAAUUAGUCCAGAUGUUUCUUACACGUUAUGUCUCACUGAUUUUUGUUUGCAAGGGGAUCUUGGGCAUGAUUUUGACUCGAAAAUAAACUUAACACGUUACACGAAUAGCCCACCAAAGGGCAAGCGGGUUUGUUUGUUGGAGGUCUCUCUCAAGGUGAUCAAUUAUUGAUGAAAGAAGCUAAACAUAUCUGAGGGUCCUUCUUUGGAUAAACAAGAAAAUGGAUCGUGUCCAAAGAUGAUUUAUGUUUUGUUGAUCUUGUUCUGGUUUGGUUUUGAACAGCUUAGUGUUGCUCUGUAAUGGAUGCAUAACCAGUAGAUAUGUCAGGAUAUUAAAAGGAACCGUUAUUUUGCCUCGUGAUAGCGAUGUUCCUUCGAAUCUUCUGACAUAUCUACUGCUUAUGCCACCAUUACAGAACAGCAACAAGCUGUUCAGAACCAAACACAGAACAAGAACAACGGAACAUAAAAUCUGAUUAUCAGACACACGACCCUUGGGAAAUUCUUUUGUAAAACUUGAAUCUGGAACUCGAAGAAUCAUGUUUAUUGGAAAAAAAAUGUAAUUUCUUUUUGUAUUAGCACAUUUUAUUACAAUAAUCCAAUUAAAGUAUUCCAUAA